CCUGGCUCAGAACGAACGUUAGCGGCGCGCUUAACACAUGCAAGUCGUGCGAGAAAGGGAGCAAUCCCCGGUAAAGCGGCGCACGGGUGAGUAACACGUAGGUAACGUGCCCCCAGGUGGUGGAUAACCUUCCGAAAGGAGGGCUAAUACAGCAUAAGACCACGGCUCCGAAAGGGGCUGAGGUCAAAGUCGGCCUCUAUUCAUAAGCUGACGCCAGGGGAUCGGCCUGCGGCCCAUCAGGUAGUUGGUAGGGUAACGGCCUACCAAGCCAAAGACGGGUAGCUGGUCUGAGAGGAUGAUCAGCCACACUGGAACUGAGACACGGUCCAGACUCCUACGGGAGGCAGCAGUGGGGAAUCUUGCGCAAUGGGCGAAAGCCUGACGCAGCGACGCCGCGUGGGUGAUGAAGGCCUCGG
rnacentral:rRNA from 1 species